GAUGAACGCUGGCGGCGUGCCUAAUACAUGCAAGUCGAGCGCGUGAAACUAAACAGAACUCUUCGGAGUGACGUAUAGCGGAUCGAGCGGCGGAUGGGUGAGUAACACGUGGGCAACCUGCCUAUAAGACUGGGAUAACUUACGGAAACGUGAGCUAAUACCGGAUGAAACCUCUUAUCACCUGGUAAGAGGAUGAAAGAUGGCUUUUAGCUAUCACUUAUAGAUGGGCCCGCGGCGCAUUAGCUAGUUGGUGAGAUAAAAGCUCACCAAGGCAACGAUGCGUAGCCGACCUGAGAGGGUGAUCGGCCACACUGGGACUGAGACACGGCCCAGACUCCUACGGGAGGCAGCAGUAGGGAAUCUUCCGCAAUGGACGAAAGUCUGACGGAGCAACGCCGCGUGAACGAAGAAGGUUCUCGGAUCGUAAAGUUCUGUUGUUAGGGAAGAACACGUACCAUUCGAAUAGGGUGGUACCUUGACGGUACCUAACGAGAAAGCCCCGGCUAACUACGUGCCAGCAGCCGCGGUAAUACGUAGGGGGCAAGCGUUGUCCGGAAUUAUUGGGCGUAAAGCGCUCGCAGGCGGUUUUUUAAGUCUGAUGUGAAAUCUUGCGGCUCAACCGCAAGCGGUCAUUGGAAACUGGAGAACUUGAGGACAGAAGAGGAGAGUGGAAUUCCACGUGUAGCGGUGAAAUGCGUAGAGAUGUGGAGGAACACCAGUGGCGAAGGCGACUCUCUGGUCUGUAACUGACGCUGAGGAGCGAAAGCGUGGGUAGCGAACAGGAUUAGAUACCCUGGUAGUCCACGCCGUAAACGAUGAGUGCUAGGUGUUAGGGGGUUUCCGCCCCUUAGUGCUGGCGUUAACGCAUUAAGCACUCCGCCUGGGGAGUACGGCCGC
rnacentral:rRNA from 1 species